UACGGAGGAUGCGAGCGUUAUCCGGAUUUAUUGGGUUUAAAGGGUGCGCAGGCGGCAUGUCAAGUCAGCGGUAAAAUGUCGGGGCUCAACCCCGGCCGGCCGUUGAAACUGGAAGACUUGAGUGUGUUUGAGGUAGGCGGAAUGCGUGGUGUAGCGGUGAAAUGCAUAGAUAUCACGAAGAACUCCGAUUGCGAAGGCAGCGUACCGGCUCCAUACUGACGCUGAGGCACGAAAGCGUGGGGAUCGAA
rnacentral:rRNA from 1 species